GAUACAUAAACUGAACUACUUUUGGAUUGAUAUGCAGGAAAUUUAUUUCAUCCAGCCAGUCUCUGUCCAGGGAAGUUUACAGAUGUGAUUUUGACUCCUCACGUCAUGUCUAGCAGAGUGCUCUACAACCUUUCCUGGCAGUCCUCUCCAGCAACACACUAAGGAAAUGAUCCACUGAGGGUCAUAUCAGAUGUCACUAAGAGCUUGGUGUAAACUGGCCAUUUUAAUUGCCUCUCUAGACGGUCUCCAGUUGAUACAUUCUUGGCCUGAGAAUUAUUGAAGCUAUUCCAGUGGAGGCAUUCAGUCAUUCUAUACCAGUGGCACAUACGUCAUUUUCACCUGUUGGGACUUUUCCUUAGGAAACCAGUGUGCCUAAUUCCAGAAAGCA
rnacentral:lncRNA from 1 species